UUGAAAAUGCUGUUGUGAUUUUAUUUUGAUUUAAGAUUGAUUUAGUAUGUAACUGUUUCUCUGGCAAUGCUGCUCUGAUUUUGUUUUGAUUCCAAUUGCCCUCAUACUCAAUUUCACCAAACUGGAUAUACACUUACCUUGAAGCAGCUUGGUCUGAUCAUUGGCAAAGCCUAAUUUAAAUAAGUUUGUAUCCCUUGAAAGGCCAGCGUGGAAGGAAGCUUGUGCUACUCUUCAAAAGCUCCUUUCAGAUCCUCUGCUAGUGAAGGCUGCCAUACAGCACCACAUUUAUUGCAGACUCUGCUCUCUCAUUUGGCGCAAGUAAUAGCAGAUUAUGUUGUUUUUCAAGUGGAGUCUGGGGCUCACUGCAUACAAAUAUUUGAUUCAUGAGGCGGACAACUACCACCUGAUAUGUGGGAAUGCUGGUCAAAGCCUUAUAUCAAAGAGAUUGUAGAUUUGGUCAAGAAAAGAUGCCCUGAGACACUGAUUGUUCUUUAUAUAAAUGGAAAUGGUGGCCU